rnacentral:rRNA from 1 species
AUUGAACGCUGGCGGCAUGCCUUGCACAUGCAAGUCGAACGGUAACAGGUUAAGCUGACGAGUGGCGAACGGGUGAGUAAUAUAUCGGAACGUGCCCAGUCGUGGGGGAUAACUGCUCGAAAGAGCAGCUAAUACCGCAUACGACCUGAGGGUGAAAGCGGGGGAUCGCAAGACCUCGCGCGAUUGGAGCGGCCGAUAUC